GCUCAGUUGGUAGAGCAGUUGACUUUUAAUCAAUUGGUCCCAGGUUCGAGUCCUGCCCGAGGAG
rnacentral:tRNA from 1 species